rnacentral:rRNA from 1 species
UGAACGCUAGCGGCAGGCUUAACACAUGCAAGUCGAGGGGUAAGUUCCGCUUCGGUGGAAACACGACCGGCGCACGGGUGAGUAUCGCGUUUGCAAUCUACCUCUAACUGGGGGAUAGCCCGGAGAAAUUCGGAUUAAUACCCCAUAUUGUUAAAAUUUCGCAUGAAAUUUUGACGAAAGCUCCGGCGGUUAGAGAUGAGCAUGCGUGCCAUUAGUUUGUUGGUGAGGUAACGGCUCACCAAGGCAGCGAUGGCUAGGGGGUCUGAGAGGAUGAUCCCCCACACUGGUACUGAGACACGGACCAGACUCCUACGGGAGGCAGCAGUGAGGAAUAUUGGUCAAUGGGCGAAAGCCUGAACCAGCCAUGCCGCGUGCAGGAUGACGCCUAUGGGUUGUAAACUGCUUUCUGCUCCAAAACCCCACUUACGUGUAAGUGGUUGACGGUAGAGCAGGAAUAAGCAUCGGUACUCCGUGCCAGCAGCCGCGGUAAUACGAGGAUGCACGUUAUCCGGAUUUAUGGGUUUAAGGGUGCCAGGCGGAUUAAUAAGUCAGUAUGAAAUCCUGCAGCUUAACUGUAGAAUUGCUAUUGAUACUGUUAAUCUUGAGUACAGUUGAGGUAGGCGGAAUGUAUGAUGUAGCGGUGAAAUGCUUAGAUAUCAUACAGAACACCAAUUGCGAAGGCAGCUUACUAAACUGUAACUGACGCUGAGGCACGAAAGCGUGGGGAGCGAACAGGAUUAGAUACCCUGGUAGUCCACGCUGUAAACGAUGAUCACUCGCUGUUGGCAAUACAUCGUCAGUGGCUGAGCAAAAGCAUUAAGUGAUCCACCUGGGGAGUACGUCGGCAACGAUGAAACUCAAAGGAAUUGACGGGGGCCCGCACAAGCGGUGGAACAUGUGGUUUAAUUCGAUGAUACGCGAGGAACCUUACCUGGGCUUAAAUGCAGAACGACGGUUCCCGAAAGGGAUCCUUCUUCGGACGGACUGCAAGGUGCUGCAUGGUUGUCGUCAGCACGUGCCGUGAGGUGUCGGGUUAAGUCCCAUAACGAGCGCAACCCCUAUUGUUAGUUGCCAGCGAGUAAUGUCGGGGACUCUAACGAAACUGCCGGUGUAAACCGUGAGGAAGGUGGGGAUGACGUCAAAUCAGCACGGCCCUUAUGUCCAGGGCUACACACGUGUUACAAUGGUCGGUACAGAGGGCAGCUACUUGGCGACAAGUUGCAAAUCUCUAAAACCGGCCUUAGUUCGGAUUGAAGUCUGCAACUCGACUUCAUGAAGCUGGAAUCGCUAGUAAUCGCGCAUCAGCCAUGGCGCGGUGAUACGUUCCCGGGCAUGUACACACCGCCCGUCAAGCCAUGGAAGCUGGGGGUACCUAAAGUCCGUAACC